CGCGCACGCUCGCGACUGAGGGCGGCUGCCAGGCCGGGAAAUGGCGGCUGGGGCGAGGCGCCGAGAUAUGCGCGUGCCGCCAUCUUUCUCUAAUGGGGCUGUCCUGCCUUGUUGCUCUUACCUGCCUUGUUGGAAGGAAUAUUUCUGCUCUCCAGAUUGUGUCUUUUACUAAUAUUCUUUUCCCAGUGCUCUUAGCUGACUUCGGAUAAUCCUCUUUUCCAAUCCUAAGCACCCUGAGGAAGCUCUGAAGCUCUUUUUCAAGCCCAGCACAAGCUUCUAGCCCGGGAAGAAGAAAGGCACUGCCAGGAGCGGUUUUUCUUAUUUUUAUGUGUGGAAUGCUUGGCCUUUUGAAGAGAGGGAAUGGCUGCAGAUGAAGACAAGUGAGCAGUGUCAGUUUUCUUCCUGCCUUUCCCAUGUGAGCACAGGGCAGCCGAAGGGAGCUGGCAGCCCGUGUGGCUGAGGCAGGCCCACCAGGGCUCAGCUGCGGCGCGGAGGUGGAAGCACCGCUUCAUUCUGCUUUCAGCAGAGCAGCAAAAAUUGAACAAGAUUUUCUUUGCCACUUUAUUGGUCCACCUGGACUUGCAAAGGGUUGCCAACUAACGGAGCUGAUGAAAGGUGCCCGAAUCAUCCUCUCAGAUGAUCCCUGCAGCAGCCCAAAAAGGCAACGCAAUUUAACGUGCAGGCGGUCUCCGUAUUGGAUCCCCAGCGACGUUUGUGCCGUUGCUCGGCGUGUCCUGUGGGGAAAGCGUAGCAUCCAGCCGCUGGCAUC